GUGGAGUCCGGUCCAAGUCGGCCCCCGCCGCCGCCGCCGCCGUGUCAUCUGCCAGACGAGGAGAAUGGGAGAAACGGCCGCUGCUCAGAGCUGCAUUGGAGUUGGAGGACGUUUCAGCUGCGGCUUGCAGACAAAGCGAUCGCGUUUCUCCGAGUCGCGAGCUGCUCCCUCCCUUUUUUCUAGAGACGCGGGAAUCUCGAGCCAUCGGAACGUGCAGGAGGAGCGGGAGGAAACGUGUCUGAGGCCGGCGGACGUGGUUUGGGGAGCGCCUCCGCUCAGCGGGCUCCUGCAGUGACGGUAUUGGUUGUGACACCAGCAACUGGCC
ensembl:lncRNA